GACGAACGCUGGCGGCGUGCUUAACACAUGCAAGUCGAACGGAAAGGCCCUGCUUUUGUGGGGUGCUCGAGUGGCGAACGGGUGAGUAACACGUGAGUAACCUGCCCUUGACUUUGGGAUAACUUCAGGAAACUGGGGCUAAUACCGGAUAGGAGCUCCUGCUGCAUGGUGGGGGUUGGAAAGUUUCGGCGGUUGGGGUUGGACUCGCGGCUUAUCAGUUUGUUGGUGGGGUAGUGGCUUACCAAGGCUUUGACGGGUGGCCUGCCUGAGAGGGUGACCGGCCACAUUGGGACUGAGAUACGGCCCAGACUCCUACGGGGGGCAGCAGUGGGGAAUAUUGCACAAUGGGCGGAAGCCUGAUGCAGCAACGCCGCGUGCGGGAUGACGGCCUUCGGGUUGUAAACCGCUUUCGCCUGUGACGAAGCGUGAGUGACGGUAAUUGGUAAAGAAGCACCGGCUAACUACGUG
rnacentral:rRNA from 1 species